rnacentral:rRNA from 1 species
CGAAUGCUGACAUAAGUAACGAUAAAGCGGGUGAAAAGCCCGCUCGCCGGAAGACCAAGGGUUCCUGUCCAACGUUAAUCGGGGCAGGGUGAGUCGACCCCUAAGGCGAGGCCGAAAGGCGUAGUCGAUGGGAAACAGGUUAAUAUUCCUGUACUUGGUGUUACUGCGAAGGGGGGACGGAGAAGGCUAUGUUGGCCGGGCGACGGUUGUCCCGGUUUAAGCGUGUAGGCUGGUUUUCCAGGCAAAUCCGGAAAAUCAAGGCUGAGGCGUGAUGACGAGGCACUACGGUGCUGAAGCAACAAAUGCCCUGCUUCCAGGAAAAGCCUCUAAGCAUCAGGUAACAUCAAAUCGUACCCCAAACCGACACAGGUGGUCAGGUAGAGAAUACCAAGGCGCUUGAGAGAACUCGGGUGAAGGAACUAGGCAAAAUGGUGCCGUAACUUCGGGAGAAGGCACGCUGAUAUGUAGGUGAAGUCCCUCGCGGAUGGAGCUGAAAUCAGUCGAAGAUACCAGCUGGCUGCAACUGUUUAUUAAAAACACAGCACUGUGCAAACACGAAAGUGGACGUAUACGGUGUGACGCCUGCCCGGUGCCGGAAGGUUAAUUGAUGGGGUUAGCGCAAGCGAAGCUCUUGAUCGAAGCCCCGGUAAACGGCGGCCGUAACUAUAACGGUCCUAAGGUAGCGAAAUUCCUUGUCGGGUAAGUUCCGACCUGCACGAAUGGCGUAAUGAUGGCCAGGCUGUCUCCACCCGAGACUCAGUGAAAUUGAACUCGCUGUGAAGAUGCAGUGUACCCGCGGCAAGACGGAAAGACCCCGUGAACCUUUACUAUAGCUUGACACUGAACAUUGAGCCUUGAUGUGUAGGAUAGGUGGGAGGCUUUGAAGUGUGGACGCCAGUCUGCAUGGAGCCGACCUUGAAAUACCACCCUUUAAUGUUUGAUGUUCUAACGUUGACCCGUAAUCCGGGUUGCGGACAGUGUCUGGUGGGUAGUUUGACUGGGGCGGUCUCCUCCUAAAGAGUAACGGAGGAGCACGAAGGUUGGCUAAUCCUGGUCGGACAUCAGGAGGUUAGUGCAAUGGCAUAAGCCAGCUUGACUGCGAGCGUGACGGCGCGAGCAGGUGCGAAAGCAGGUCAUAGUGAUCCGGUGGUUCUGAAUGGAAGGGCCAUCGCUCAACGGAUAAAAGGUACUCCGGGGAUAACAGGCUGAUACCGCCCAAGAGUUCAUAUCGACGGCGGUGUUUGGCACCUCGAUGUCGGCUCAUCACAUCCUGGGGCUGAAGUAGGUCCCAAGGGUAUGGCUGUUCGCCAUUUAAAGUGGUACGCGAGCUGGGUUUAGAACGUCGUGAGACAGUUCGGUCCCUAUCUGCCGUGGGCGCUGGAGAACUGAGGGGGGCUGCUCCUAGUACGAGAGGACCGGAGUGGACGCAUCACUGGUGUUCGGGUUGUCAUGCCAAUGGCACUGCCCGGUAGCUAAAUGCGGAAGAGAUAAGUGCUGAAAGCAUCUAAGCACGAAACUUGCCCCGAGAUGAGUUCUCCCUGACCCUUUAAGGGUCCUGAAGGAACGUUGAAGACGACGACGUUGAUAGGCCGGGUGUGUAAGCGCAGCGAUGCGUUGAGCUAACCGGUACUAAUGAACCGUGAG